GGCCUGGCUGGGCGGUCUAGCCUCACGGUUUGUACUGCUCUGGUCGGGUCUUUCCUUGUGGCGAGCCAUUUUGUUCUUAAUUGGGCGAUUUGGGUAGCCACAUCUUUUACUUUGAAAAAAUUAGAGUGUUUAAAGCAGGCCUACGCUUGAAUACAUUAGCAUGGAAUAAUAGAAUAGGACUUUGGUUCUAUUUUGUUGGUUUCUAGGACCGAAGUA
rnacentral:rRNA from 1 species